AUCGGAGGCCUUCAGUCUGCCCUCGGCCAGCUCCAACCGGGAGUGCAAAUAAAACUGGUGUCUGAAAUGAAAUCAAACGAUCGGCGCCCUGUAAUCACCAUUAUCAAAAAAGUAAAAGCGCAACCCUAGAUCGGAGUCCUCGGAGCCGAGUCCGUCGAUGGAGGUCCAGGUUUGAAAUCCUGAAGGUCCAGCGAAACGACCGGCGAUUAAUCUUCGAAUUCGCCAAUACUUGGACUGCGGUGCAUUCUCGUUCGAGCCGCAUUAACGUCAAUAUCGAUUAAUUUGCAAGCAGGGCGACAACGCCGUAACGAGGUGGACUAAUGGCCAUGAAUAUAACCCGGCCGGUCGGAAACGGCUAUCUCCCUCUUCGUCGCACCCACGGCCGGCCGCAUGGCGUCCUCUCUCUCUUCUGCCCGCCGAGCUCCUCAAGUGUCCUCGCACACCGGAGGUCCACGGGACGUCGUCCUCCAUCGGUCAACGGCACCACUGCAAAUCCGGAUGUCAAAAAGUCCUAAAAGGACAACCUGCAAACCGACUUCAGACCCUGGAACGCUCCUGGCUCGUUAAUUGGCCAAAAGGAAGGAUUCGUUUCGUUUUUUCGGAUUCCCUCGUCCCUGUCCAAGAUGGCCGCAUGAGAAAAGGACAUCUUCGGUCCAUUAGCCGAAAUGUUAAUAGUCUGCGAGUGGAAUGGUACCUUAAGUUGAUGUUUCAUGUAUCGUCGAGUGACUCACUUUUUGACUGUCGUCGGGAAUUCACGUGUCGACAAUUAAUCCAACAUUUUUGUAUUUCAAAUGUCUCUUGCGAGGCCUGGGAUGUCCUUUCCAUCCUGGUAAUCGCCCGAUGUUAAUCCCAAGGGCUCGCUGGUAAAUCCCGUAACGUGGGCAGCUAAUUCGGUUCGGUGCCCCGAACGGGACGAGGGGUUGGAAAACGUCGAGACCCGGGGUCCCUGUCAGGAGCAGCCGGGCCGAGGGCGCCAUUGGCCAACUUUCAAAUUACUCGGCGCGUAAAGGAUAACUUCGUCUUGCGAUGUAUUAUUUAUGCGAGGCUGGCUUCAGCCCUGUUAGUGGCAAGCACGGAAUUUUCCGCCCGAGGACUUUCCCUUCGCGAGAGAAAGGACGCCUCCUCCAAUUAACCCUUCAACCAAGACAUAUUAAUGUACCAGGGUCGAGGCAUAAAUUCCCACUCUUUCCGAGCGAUGUUAACGAAAAAAACUGCAUCGACUUAGGCUCGCGAUAAAAUGUCAAAUUGAACUCGGAUAAACCC